rnacentral:lncRNA from 1 species
UACCUAAUUAAUGACAUUGGGGUUAACUUCAAGAGGAAGCCAUUUCAUCAAAGUUUGUUGAUCUUGUAAUUGAUGGUAUGUUACAAUUGACAUAGCGAGAAAGAAGUUUAUUAUAACGAAAAAUGGGUUAAGUGGAUAAACCAAAUGUGCAGUCUACUCUUUCUUCUUCUUAUUCUGAAAUGAGGGCAGACGUUACACGUUUUAGCGGAUAUGAUAAAGAUUGAACAUGUACUACUUUGUUUUAUUUGAGAGAAUCAAAAUAGCUCCUAAUUGACAAGCCAGUAGGACAAUGGCCAACUGCUUCCAAGUAGUCUCUAUCAUGUGGUAGGGGAAACAAGCCAGUUGAUAAAAAUAGUAUGAGAAACUAUCACAUAAAUAAGGCGUAACUGCAAUCCUUUGUUGUUGCAUCUGUAUUACCAAAAUUUGAACCGUGACAGCAACACCUGCAAAUUAUUAUCACAAAAAGUUUGUAAGAGAUUGAACUCAACAGAAAUGAGAAGUAACUUAAUGAAACAAACACACCGAUCAGGAAAACCAAAACUAAAGUCGGGCUCUUUCAUUCUCAUCUUUAUUAGCAUAAAAAAAUCUUAAGAAAUUGAAUUCAGCAGAAAUGACAAAUAGCUUCAUGAAACAAAGACACUGAUCGGGAAAAUUAAAACUAAAGUCGGGUUUUGUCAUUGUGAUCUUGAAGCUAUGUUUCGAAAGUUAUAUGUUUCAUGUAUCACAAAGAAGUGAAGGGAUGUUAUCUGCAACUUUCUUGUAUUAAUGUCAUAUGUUGCUAUGAAUACUGUGGUAGUCUGUUCAGCUGAAAACAGAAGGCGAAAAAAGUCAUUAGAUACAAAUGAAAAGAACAAUAAAAUCAGUUUCACACCAAAUGUUAGACUCAAAAGUGUCUAACAAAGAAUGCAGACAUUAAAGUUGAAAAAACCGAUGUUUAUUCGGGUGUAAUGAUGCGUUUUAACCAGCUAAUUAAGUCAGAUAAAUCAAGUUGAUGUGAUAGGCGGUCGGUAAAUUAAAAAUAACAUAAAUUUGCAGGAAAUUUCUUCAAUCAAUCUCUAAUGGAACUUGUGAAGCACGCACCUCAAUCAAUUUGUAAUCGAAGGUGCCUCUUAGAGCAUUUUCAACUUAUAUUUUGAUUUCUCGCAUUUACUGAACUUAUCUGUUCAUGAAUUGAAUACAGGAAGAAUUAAAAAAAAGUCUAAUCUUCCAUGGAACAUUCAAAGCAUUUAAAGACAAUAUUAUUUAAAUUAAAAUCUCACUUGAUAAUUGUAUAAGCAGCGUACCUAAAACUUCAGGGGAAACAAUUUCUUUUGCGAAAGCUUGCUAAUGAAAUAGGAAGGGAUCAACAAGUGGAAGCAACAUAAGCAGUACAUACUUGAAGACAUUAGUUAAUAUAUUUCACGACAAGUAUAUUAAAAAUAAAAAUUCUUAUGUUGUUAGUUAACUGAAUGCUUUUUUGAUAAUUUCAUCAUAAACAACGUUGUAUGUUGAGUGAUCAUCUUUGUUAUCUGAUGUCAAUGACCUAAUCAACAACUUUACACCUUUUGAACUUUUAGCUCUAGACAACACAUAAAGCUAAUCAUGGGAAAAAACAGGCUCACACAAAUAAAUUCCAAUAUAGUCUAAAGUUUGAUCUUGAGCUUUAUUUAUAGUCAUAGCAAAACAUAAUCGUAUUGGAAACUGUGUUCUCUUGAAAGGAACCGAAAAGUUCUCAUCUGCUGAAGCUGAUAGUGGUAUGCGAGGAAUAAAUACAUGUUUAUUUGAAAAUCACCGCUAGCAAUAUUAGCACUUGUAACAUGUGUUUUAAAAUUACAGCACAUUAAUUGUGUACCAUUACAUAAACCUUCAGAAGGAUUUAAGUUUCGUAGUAACAUCACUGGGCAAUUUUCUUUUAAAGUUAAUUUGUAAGGUGGAAAAUUAGCGGGCUUUAUAGUAUGUAGAUAAUCUUCAAAUUGACUUUGAUCAUUUGGUUCAAUAGUUUCAUCAAUCUCAACAAAUAUUUUUGCAGUAUUUGAAAAUUUUGAUAUAAGCAUAACAUUUAUUUCAUGAACAUAAUCAUUUUUUUUUGUUAAAAUAAUACGGGAAUCUAAAGCAUAAGAGUUAUGAAAUAACGAAUUUAUGUUAGAAUAUGUUACCUUGAAUAAUUCAUCAAGAGAUUGUUCUUCGGUAGUAAAAGAAAUGAGCAAAGAUUUGGGAAUUUCAACUUUGUCGCUGGAGUUAUGUUUUUCUUUCCAUUUCCAAUCCUUAUUAGGUACUCAGAAAAAGCUGGAUCUGUUCUUGCAUGCAUAUUCUCUGAUAGGUGCAAUUUUUCUAGUUGGUUCCAAAUUUGUGAGUAUAAUAAGGUUUGUGAAAUGAAGUCUUCUUUUUUUCCAUUUCUCACAACAGGAAGAGUUUGUCUAAAAUCACCACCUAAAACAACUUUUCCACCAAAGGGCAUCCUCAUAUCCAUGAGAUCUUUCAAAAGUAAAUCAAAAGCUUUAAUAAUUUUUCCUUUAGGCAUUAAUGCUUCAUCCCAUACAAAUAAUUUUGCAUCUCGAAUCAAAGAAGCAAGUGAACUUUGUUUGUUGAUAUUGCAACUAAUAUUUUCAUCAACAUCAAUAGGUAUUUUAAAGCGUGAAUGAGUUGUUCGUUCUUUAAGAAGAAUAGAGGUUGAGACACCAGAACUUGCAGUUGCUAAUGCAACAAAUGCUUUUGAUCUUAUCGUUGCUAAUAGACUUUGAUUUAAGAAACUAUUACCAGUUCCUCCGGUUCCAUGAAUAAAGAAAGCUGCUGCUCUAUUUGAAAAACUCUAUCAAUUAUUACGGUAUAAGCUCUUCUUUGUUCAAUAUUAAAUUUAUUUUCUAAUAAUAAAUCCUCUUCGCAAACUUUUAUAUUUCUCUCAAACUGAACAUCUUUUGCUUCUUUGGUAAUCGCAGAGGCUUUAAUAUUUUCUAGAACAAGCUUGUACUCAUUAAUAUCAUGUCCCAUCGAGUGUAAUUCAUCUUUAAUAUGGUCCAAAACUCGACGGCAAAUAUCUUUAAGUUCAAUAUUUCCCAAGUUUUUAAAAUCUUCUGACAUAGAGUCAUCAAAUUGUUCCCAUAAUUCUUUAGAAUUAGUAGGAUUAUAAUACACUAAUAACAUAGUGAAUAAUCAUCUCAAACUAUAUGGUAAUUGGUAACUCACAGCUUCAGUCAUACAGUCAAUCAAACUGUUAUCAGAAUGUAGUAAUUCCUUUUUUUCUGUUGAUUCUCUAAAAGUAGAACAAUAUGUUGACUUUACGAAGAUCUCUAUAUGACUCUGGCACUCGUACAUUCAUUAUAACAAUCUGAGAUAAUAUCUUUCUCCUUCUAUUAGAUGACGUCACAAUACGUUCGAUAACUGAACAUUGUUUUCGACGUGUCCACAUUUUAUAUGUGUUUGACCAUACAAAAUAUUCAGGGAAUUCUUUGUAUAGUAGUUUAAGUUCUUUAGCAUCUUUAUUUGUUUGGUUCAUUACAAAAAAUUCGGUUAGCAUUGUUUUUCUAAUCAUUGGAUUUCUUAUAAUUGAAUUUAUACUUUGAGCACUUUUAAAAGAAACAUAUUGUUGGUCUUCAAGAUGCAAUUGAAGAUGGUAAACACUUGGUGUCAUCUCACUAAUAGAAAAAUCAAAUAAGCGCCAUGUAGCUUCGGGCGGAGAUACCCACCGAGCAGAUUGAUACACUUUUAUUUCAUCAAUUUCUAUUUGUUUAUCAUACUCGUGCAUAUAAAAAGCAAUUUUAUUGUGUCCUUUGCAAAUAUAUUUGUAAAGAUACUUCAUUACUUUGAUGUUAGAGCAUAUUUCUACAUUCAUAUGACAAUUAAAAAUUUAUGAAGUAAAAAUGGAUUGUAUGGUACUACCCAAGAAUUAUCGAGAAAUUGUUCUCUAACCUUUGUAGUAUGUCCCGAUUGUUGCCUCUUAUAAGUUGGAUAUGAGUUUUUUCCUUUUGAAGUUCGUUCAGCAAAAUCUCUAGGACAGUGAAAUUUACAAUAUCCACUUUUCAUACAUGGAUUUGUAGGAUUUAAGUGGCCACAAUGACGGACAACAACUGAAUGUAAGUAAACCUCUCUAUUAGAAUCAGGUAAUUCAACACGAAUAAAUUUGUCACAGGACUCAGGUGUCAACAAUUUGUAUUCAUUAGCAAGAAUUAUAAGAAAAUAUACACGUGGGAGACUGCGUUUCUGAAAUUCUAUACUGUAAAUGAAAGCAACAACCUUUCCAAAUACGUUUCUCUUUAGUAUGUUAGCUUGUAUUUCCUCAACGUUUGCUCUAAAUACUCUACUAAUUAAAUCAGGUCUGUUUUGUGCUUUGUCAGUAGGUAACAAAUGUUCCUUUAUUUCUGGCCAUGUUGGAUUACAUAUCAUUGUUAAAAAUAAAUCAGGUUUUCUUAGACGUUGGACUAAAGCAAUAGCAUCAAGAUAACGCCAACGUAUGUCUCUUGGGUCCUCUUGGUCCUCCCGUAAAUGUAACUGGAAGGAAUAUCUAUUUUCCAAUUUUUAUAGCAUCUCUUUCACCAUGUCUUAAGACAUCAAGAAGACCUUGCAAAACUUCCAUUCGAAAUACUUCUGGAUUGAAGAAAAAGAAGUCCAGUCUUUGUGAUUCAAGUUUUCAGAACAUGUCAAUAUAUUGUUGGAAUGCUCUUCCAGUAUGUAAGAGUUCAUCAUUUUCAUUAUUUUUCAUUUGAAUUUUGUAGCAAUAAUAUUCACGAUAAGAGAUAGUAUUCCUUUUUUUUCUUUUGUUGUUUGAGUAUUUGAGCUUCCAUAUCAAGAAAGUUAUCUAUUGAACACAUAUUUUUAACACUUGGUAAGUGUUCAUGUUCACAGGGAGCACAAUGUGUGAUACUAUUAUGUGGUUGUAUUUUUUCAUACCACAAUGCUAGCCAUUUUGACCAUAUGGAAAUAAUAAUGGGUACUGCAAGGGUUCAUAACAUCCGUAAUAACAAUUAACUAAUUGUCUUUGAUUAUUGUGAGUAUAAAUUCGAAUAUGAUGUGCGGAGAUAGAAUACACAUCUCCAUCAACCCAUAUUGCUGAAAUUUCAGAUGAAGUAGGAAGUUUAUAUACACGUUGAUCUAAACCAAUCACAUUUCAAUGCAGUGUAAAAGUGUGACAGUUCUGGAACAUCAGAUAGAGAUUUAAGGAAAAAAGAAUACAGAUUAAUUUUUAAAAUACUCAUCAAUUUUCUGACUAUUAUUUCUGAAAUUCCAGUCGAACAACCAAUUCUAUUUGUCAUUUCAUUUUCAUUGUCAUAAAAAUAUAGUUGCAAGUUUUUUUCCUUUUCCAGUUGUUGGGUAUAAAUCGUCAAUAAAGUGGUAUAUUUUUUCUUGAACUCUAAAGGUAUAAAUACCAUGAUAUAUUUUAGCCAAAGCUAACAUAUUAUUGUAUUUUCUAACAUAUGUUCUAAAAUGUUGAGACUCUUCAGAAGUAUCUAAGAAUAAAUGUCGUAGUUCAGUAGGCAUUUUAUGUGUUGUGAGCUUAAUUGAACCAUUACACAACAAAAUGUAGGUGGUUCGUAUUAGAAUCUUUUUGCACCACAAAUUUACAAUUUAGCACAACUUUCAGAACUAUAUAUUCGGUUUGUAACAUAUUGACAUUAAUGUGACGACCUCUAUUAAUCUUAUGUCCUGGAUAGUGCAGAAAAAGUUAAAAAUCAAUUUAGAGUUAAAGAAAUAGCAAUAAAUAUUGUUGUAUGUCGACACAAAUACAAACCUUUGUUUGUUAUAUUUCCCCAAGCAAGUCUACAUUGGUCAUUAGAUGUAUGUGAUCUAGAACCUAAUAUAAGACCAAUUAUGAAUUACAUGAGUAAAUGCAUGAUGGCAAUAGUAUGUUAAUAGAGAAAAUAUGAUUAUACCUGCCUGUCUCGAAGAUGCAAAAAGGCUGAAGCAAACUUUUCCCUUUAGUAGAAGUGCCCGAUGAUAUAUUAACUUCAGAUGUAGUAGCUAAUAAAUAAACUGAUUCAAAUAGGUGCGUAUUUCCAAGCAUUUUGAUGUGUAAAGAGCAAAGUUUAAUUUACUAACCUUGUGUUGUCGUAACACAAACAUCCCUUAUUAUGAGAGGUUUGUUUUGUUGAGAUGUUGAAUUAGAUGCAAAAAAUAUUGAUGUCGUUGAAGUAUUCAAUGCAUUAACUUGUGCAACACGCUUCCUUGAAUCGAGUUCUCUGGUGCACCGUUGCAAUAAUAAUGCCUCUUUUUUAAUUGGAGAAAUUUUGUUAUAUCUCUUAUGCCGAUUGAAUUUUAUUUCAGCAUCUGUAGUAGACAAACAUGGACAUUUGUUAUUCUGGGUUGAAUGUGUUGUAGGGGCCCUUUUCUUAGCUCCAGACAUAUGUAGCCAAACUAUGUGAGAAAUUGUAAAAGAAAUAACGGAAUUUGCUAAAGUUAAAAAGUCGGGCAUGAACGCGAAAUGCACUACACAACACCAACUCAAAAUAGAGCAAAGAAAGAAGGACAAAUAGAUAUGUAGACAAAGACAGGGAAUUGCUUUUGCGGAAAAGAGGAAAACAUAUGUUGACUACCACGUUUUAGAAGAAUUAUAGAUGCAACUCAGUUUACUGAUGUUGCAGUUGAUGUCAUUUAUUAUAUCCGACAGAAUACAACUUUCAUCAUAUUAGAAAGGUCCAUAAACACUAAGGAGAACAUUUUGUGCAGUUUAUAUAACAAAGAAGGUUAUUCUAAACUCUGCCUAGUUAAUUUUGUAACGUAUAGCAAAUCCAAGGUCAGUCAAAUUAGGAGAGUGCACCAUGUUGACGUAACAUGUAAAUGAUCUUAAUGAAUCCUCGCAAUACUAAAUGAACCCGAAUAGAACAGAAUGGAUAACAUGACUAUACAGGCUACUAUAUAGAAGUAUAUAUUCUGUGCUUAAUCACCUAGGAAAAGAAUCAUAACAUUGCUUCCACUUAUCCUUCACUCUCUUUCGUUAUUUUUCCAAAGUAAGGAUGUAUAAGAAGAAAAUAUUAAUUAUCUCCCUUACCAUCCCCUAAAAAAAUUGAAGUAUGAAAAAUAUUCAUACAAGAAAAGUUGAGUCCAUAAAAAUUUUCAACAGAAAUCAAGUCAUUAGCAGAUAUUGUCCUGUAAUCACUAAUCACAAAGGUAAUGUUCAAUCUAGAAAAAGUCCUAAUCUAGGGGUUUGGUCAAAAAAGGAUGACACAAUCAACAACAAGAUGGCAAAGCAACAGAUAAGGUACCUUACUUAGAAUAGUAAAUUAUUCCUACAACUUUGUUCCAAAAUUUAACAUGAAUAUGGACAAUUUAUUAAGAUGAGAAUAAAAUGUUUACCUUUCUGUGUCAAUUAGAGAGAAAAUGGAAAACUGUUCAUAAGAAGAGUAAGAGUGGGAUUUGACUUUUAUACGGCUUUUUAUAUUCAUAAUCUAGGCAACAAAUUGUAGAAUAUUGCCUUCUUAAAAAUUGGACUAUGUGACGCUUGGAGAUGAUGCAUGGUUAAAGGGCUUUCAACUUCAUACAUGAAGUAUAAAACAUGUAAGGAAAACUUAAAUGUUCAGUAGUUUCAAAGUAAAUACAACCAACAAUUUUAUGUGUAUAUUUUUGUGCAGCUACGGCAUUUUCUCUUCUGGCUCCCCUUUAAGUAUCUGCUUGAAAUAAUAUGUUGCCUCCACCUUUGUUCUUUUUAUCAAAAAAUUGAAUAAUCAUCUUCAUCUAGAAAGUUUUACCCAGAAUGUGUUUAAAUAAUGUUGGAGUCAACAUAUGUUCCUUUUACUGUGAAAACAAGGCGUAGGUUUGCUCUCAUUGGAUUUUUUUAGUAUAUAAUUUGUAUGUGGCAUUAAACAAUUGUAUUUUACUUCGGAAUACAAUGCAUUUAUCUUCCUUCAGUUGUCCAUAUGAUGUGUAGUUUAGAUUUGUUCAGAAUAAUUUGUGCAUUAAGCUGGUGGCAUAUCUCUUAGGCUACUGUGAAUUCUCGCGUCAGUAGUACAAUGAGAGCCUAUUACUAUUUUCCGCUAUUUCAGGCAGCGAAAAAGUUCUUUAAAGAGCUAAAAUGCAUGCAACUAAAUGCUACAUGUAGUUUUAACCCAAUCCAAGAAUAUCCUAAGACAAAGAAUGCAUUUAUUCCAUACAAUUUUCCACUGACUGUAUCACCGAUUAAAGUUCAAGUUAAGAUCAUUUACAACAAAUUUGUUCUUCGUAUAAAGGAAUUCAAGAUGGGUUCACCUUGUGGAAAUUGUCUGUUGCAGAAAUGCAAGGUAAAGUUGCACACAAUAGAUUCACGUGGUUCUGCCCUAACUUGGAGUUCACGCAUAGCAGGAGCUAAGUGCACCGGAGUUUUAGUUGGGUAGGAAUGUUGUGGAUAUAUGUACUUAAAUACCCCUUGUAGAAGUAAGUUUCGUGCAGACUUUGUGUUCAGGAUAUUGUUUUAAAAUAUGGGAUAUUAUCUUCAUGUGUAUUGGAAUGGAGUGAUGGGUACUAUAAUGGGAAUAUGAAGACCAGGAAGAUUGUUUAGGAAGAAUGUUCAAGCCGAGGAAGUUAAUGAAGACCAACUGGGAUUGCAGAAAAGUCAGCAAUUGAGAGAACUUUGUAGUUCCCUCUUAACAGGUGAAAGUGAAUAAGACCUACAACCACAGGCCAAAAGGUCGUCGGCCGCAUUGUCUCAAAAAAAUUUCACUUGUAUGGAGCGGUAUUUUUUAGUAUGCAUGUCAUUCAUCUUGAAUGUUGGCCAAGGGUAAUUUCUUGAAAUUCCAAAUCUUGUGCAGGGAGUUUGCUUUCUGAUGUGUUGAUAAGAAUUUAUAUAGUGUACCAAGGCCAUACUUCGUUAUAUCUUAGAACAAUCCUACUAUUCGAUCGACGUUUUAUAGUUUUUGUAGCUAUGGAAAGAAGAAGCUAGCAAAGGAUUCUAAACAAUUCUAUUUAGUCAUCUAAUUGCAUCUAUAGAUGCAACACUUGACAGAUACAAUAUCACUUAAUUUUGAAUUGGAAGGAGAAGUUGAAACCACUAAUAGUUGUAAUUCCUCGGGUAGCUCCUUGAAACCUUUUGUCUCUAACCGAUUAAUUAGGAAUCCAAUUGUAGCUCUAUGGAUAUGAGAUUAUUGAAGUCACCAAUUAUCAGCCACAAAGACUGUACAAAAGAGUCUAUCUAAUUAAGUUUAUCCCAUAGUUGUUGCCUUUGUCCUAGAUUAUUAUUUGCAUACACCACAAUGAAUAGCAUUAUAGAGUAUAAUGUUGUAUUAUGUACUACCCAGUGGAUGAAUUGGUCACCAAUCUCCACAAAGUUCGCACGGAGCACGAGCUUAGUGCACAGAAUUUUUAGUUGCGCGGGAAUCCUGUGGAUAUAUGUACUUACAUAUCCCUUGUAGAAGUAAGUUUUAUGUAGAUUUUGUGGUCAGGAUACUGUUCUAAAAUAUGGGAUAUUAUCUUCUAGGGUGUUGCAAUGGAGCAAUGGAUACUAUAAUGGGGAUAUCAAAACCAGAAAGACUGUUCAGAUGGAGAAAAUUAAUGAAGACCACCUGGGAUGGCAGAGAACUGAGCUAUUGAGAGAACUUUAUAGUUCUCCCUUAACAGGUGAAAGUGAAGAAGAGCUACAACCACAGGCCAAAAGGCCAUCGGUUGCAUUAUGUCCAGAAGAUCUCAUUGAUAUAGAUGGUAUUUUUUAGUAUGCAUGUCAUUCGUUUUCAACAUUGGCCAAGAGUAAUUUUUUAAAAUUCCAAAUUUUGUGCAGAGAGUUUGCUUUCUGAUGUCUUUAUAAGAAUUUACAUAGUGCGGUAAGGCUACAGUUGAUUAUAUCUAAAAACAACUCUACUCUUCAAUCGACGUUUUAUAGUUUUCAUAUCUAUGGAAAGAAGAUGCUAGGAGAGGAUUCUAAAUAAUUCUAUUUACUCAUCUAAUUGUAUUUAUAGAUGCAACACUUGACAGACACAAUAUCACAUCUAAAAAACUUUAUCCUCUGAGGUUCAUUGUCACAGCUAGUACAAUGAGAACCUGUUACUAUUUACCUCCAUUCUAGACAGUCGGUAAAGCUUUUUGGAAAGCUAAAAUACUUCAAUUAAAUGGUACGUGUAGUUUUAAUCCAAUCCAAGAAUAUAGUAGGAGAAAGAAUGCAUUUAUACCAUAAAAUUUUCUAGUGAUUGUAUCAUUGAUUAAAGUUCCGACGAAACUUUAAUCCAUUAUACUUUUACAAGUUAAGUUCUUUAUGUCCUGUGUUAUUCUACAUCAUUUGUAACAACUUUGUUUUCCGUAUAAAAGAAACUGAAGGCGGGUUUGAGCUGUGGAAGUCUAUUGCAGAAAUGCAAAAUAAAGUUGCAAAUAAUAGAUCCGAUGUGGUUCCGUCCUAAAUUCUUUAUAAGAAUUUACAUAGUGCAGCAAGGCUACAGUUGGUUAUAUCUUAGAACAACUCUGUUUACGUUUUAUAGUUCUCGUAUCUAUGAAAAAAAGAUUCUAGGAGAGGUUCCAAACAAUUCUAUGUAGACAUCUAAUUGCAUCUAUAGAUGCAACAGUUGACAGAAAUUUAUUUGAUUUUCAUAUUAACCAACUCAAGCUUGCUUAGUAUUUCUAUCAAACACUUCACCUGCAAUCUCAACUCAUUCCUACCAUUUACCUUUCAACCCCCACAAAAUCUAAACAUGUAAAAUUAAACUAGUGGGGAAAUGAAAAUCAACCUAACCUAUCACCAUUAAAGUUAUAGCAGACUAAGUUAUGAGCUAAGUGUAGUCACACAAGCCGCAACAGUCAGCAGAACACAAGUGAAGAUGCAAAAUAAAAGCAAAAUACAUCAAGCAAAUUGAAAUAGUAAAGUAGAAAUUGAAAACUAACCACGGCGAAACGCAAAAGAAGGUAAUGAUAACGAAGAUGAUAAUCAGCUAAACCAGCAAUUUAGCGAUAUGUAUAGCCAUGGACGCUAAGAGAAACAUCCACAAAAUCUGGCUAUAUACAUCUGCAAUCAACGUGGCGUUGCUAGAAAUUGACACAGCCUAGACAAACAAGAAAUGACGAAAAUGCCCCUCCCCCGGUGAAGCAGUCAUGUUGACGGGGAGGAGCUUGCUUAGUGAACUCUCUCUUAUAUAUACUCUACAAAAUAUUAUAUGUUAUUUUUUAUCUCAAUUUAAAUUAUUAAAAUAUUUUAUAUUUUAAAUUAUUGUGAUUUAUAGUAUUUUUUUCUUCUGUUUCAAUUUAAAUGAUGCUGGU